UGCCCAGCAACUCCUAUUCCUACCUCCUCGUGGUAUCGGCCAGAAACUAUGAGCAACCUUAGGGAAGAUCGGGUAACCAACCCCGGUGGGAACUUUGAUCAUAGGCUGACAGGGAAGA
rfam:Aedes albopictus isolate Foshan contig42616, whole genome shotgun sequence.